AUUGAACGCUGGCGGCAUGCCUUACACAUGCAAGUCGAACGGCAGCACGGGAGCAAUCCUGGUGGCGAGUGGCGAACGGGUGAGUAAUAUAUCGGAACGUGCCCAGUCGUGGGGAUAACGUAGCGAAAGCUACGCUAAUACCGCAUACUAUCUAUGGAUGAAAGCGGGGGAUCGCAAGACCUCGCGCGAUUGGAGCGGCCGAUAUCAGAUUAGGUAGUUGGUGAGGUAAAGGGCUCACCAAGCCGACGAUCUGUAGCUGGUCUGAGAGGACGACCAGCCACACUGGGACUGAGACACGGCCCAGACUCCUACGGGAGGCAGCAGUGGGGAAUUUUUGGACAAUAGGGCGCAAGCCUGAUCCAGCAAUGCCGCGGUGCAGGAUGAAGGCCUCGGUU
rnacentral:rRNA from 1 species